ensembl:snoRNA Gm22871 Z6 small nucleolar RNA
UGCUAGUGAUGAAGCUGCCUCGCUCUGAGCACUGGGCCUUGCCUGGGGUAAGCA